CUACGGGCGGCAGCAGUGGGGAAUAUUGGACAAUGGGGGAAACCCUGAUCCAGCAAUGCCGUGUGUGUGAAGAAGGCCUGCGGGUUGUAAAGCACUUUCGGUUGGGAGGACUGCUUCUAGCACUAAUAUUGUUGGAAGUUGACGUUACCUUCAGAAGAAGCACCGGCUAACUCCGUGCCAGCAGCCGCGGUAAUACGGAGGGUGCAAGCGGUAAUCGGAAUUACUGGGCGUAAAGCGCGCGUAGGCGGCUAGAUCAGUCGGGUGUGAAAGCCCCGGGCUUAACCUGGGAACUGCAUCCGAUACUGUCUAGCUUGAGUACAGGAGAGGAGAGUGGAAUUCCACAUGUAGCGGUGAAAUGCGUAGAUAUGUGGAGGAACACCAAUGGCGAAGGCAGCUCUCUGGCCUGAUACUGACGCUGAGGUGCGAAAGCGUGGGGAGCAAACAGGAUUAGAUACCCGCGUAGUC
rnacentral:rRNA from 1 species